rnacentral:snoRNA from 1 species
AAGCAGGAUUUAACUACAGUAUAGCUGUUAAGUGCUAUGCUGUUGUUCCCCCCUGCUCAAAACAGUGUUGUUUCUUAACUAUACCUAUCUUCUAGACACCUGUAGCAGCCAGCAAUGCUUGGUCUCACACAU